UGUAUACUUGUCCCCUUUGUGUAUUGCUGCUAAUCUUUCUCUUUCUAGGUUCUGUUGGUUGCAUGCAGAUUGUGCCAGAUGAUUUAUCUGUCUAUGGUCUAAGCAUGGACUCUGUGCUAAUAUGCAAUGUGUGCUCUUUUUUCCCUCAGGUCAACAGCAGACAGGGUCCUUCCACAACCACAUACUUAUGCCAGUAAAAGCCACAGCUUUUCUCCUCCAAUCCAAGAAGCCUGGACUGCAGUCACCAUCUCAACACACCAACCAAGAGAAAGGCGGAUGGCUCAAUUCAAUAUGGAAAAUUGCACAAUAAAAGUUCCAGGACAUGAAGGCUGCAUACUGUGAACGUCAACCUUCAGGGCACCGUCCUGCGCAGAAGACUUUCUACCCUAAGAGGGAUGGCUGACCGCAGACACACAACCAGCACAGACGCCUCCAACCUCAGACUAGGCCCUUCACAGUUGCUGCUUUUACCCACCUUCCCAGAGUUUUUGUGUGGUAAUGACAACUGUAAAUAUAGUAUAAAGUAAUGUAUCUAGUGUCAUGUGUAAUACAUUGUUUAAAUUGUCCAUACAUUUCAAUGACAGUAAAUAUUGGUGGACACAAUUUGACUGUGUGGCUUUUUUUUAAUUCAUUCUCUGACUGAAAAUGCAUGGUUACAUAAUUUAUAUAUUCCACAAGACCACAAUCAGAAGAUUAUUUGACAGGUUGCAUUUAUUUUCUAUGUAUGAAAAAAACAAUGGUAACAAGACAAACGUGGUUCCAAACCAAAAAGGUGAGAUGUACAGAUGAAUGCUCCUACAGAUAAUGAAAAAUAAUAAAAGUCUGCACACUGCCGGUUUGUGUGUUUUAUACCGUACUCUGUAUAAACCUUUUAUAUUGCUCUAGUGGAGCAGGGUAACCCUGGCUAAUCCUGGGUAUUGUACUGUGUAUUACAACGUCAGCCCUGUUCAAGUGCCCCAUACUGUCUGUAGGCUGCAUGCCUGAAGAGACCGUUUCUCUCACCUGGUCCUACAUCAGCCCAAUGUCUUAUCAAAAAUGAGAACACCACAGCAUUUCCUUUCAAUGUUCAUGGGCAUCUCCUUACAGAUUGCGCAGAGGCGCCAGGUUGGUUGUGCUACUGGGCUGUGACUGAGGACCAGAUGUCAUGUGCCAGGUCGAACAUCAAACUGGGGUCACGGGUCAGGGCACGCUGUAGUAACCGAUGGGAUUGCUUCAAAUUCAAUGAUUGAAUCAAGGCCUGCAAAGCAAUAAAUACAUUUUAUGUAGUGCAUUUUCUAUUUGAUGAUGGGGACU